rnacentral:rRNA from 1 species
GCGCAGCAGUCGCGAAACCUUCGCAAUGCAGGAAACUGCGACGAGGGAACUCCAAGUGCCUACGCUCAGCGUAGGCUGUUCUCAAGCCUAGAAAGCUUGAGGAGUAAGGGCUGGGUAAGACGGGUGCCAUCUGUGGUAGCAGUCAAUAGAUUCGAUUUGUUACUGCAAGGCAUAAGCCGCCGCGGUAAUACCCGCAGCCCAAGUGGUGGCCGCUUUUAUUGGGCCUAAAGCGUCCGUAGCCGGCCCGGUAAAUGCCUGGGGUAAAUCGUGGAGCCCAACUUCACGAAUUCCGGGUAGACUGCCGAGCUCGGGACCGGAAGAGGGACGAGGGUACUUCGAGGGGUAGGGGUGAAAAUUUCCUUCCAUUAACGCUUUGCGCGAAGCGGAAAGGGUUAUCACG